rnacentral:tRNA from 2 species
GCGAGCGUAGUUCAAUGGUAGAACGAGAGCUUCCCAAGCUCUAUACGAGGGUUCGAUUCCCUUCGCUCGCUCCA